rnacentral:misc_RNA from 1 species
GUUUAUUUACCGUAAUAGUUUGCUCUUCCUGUGCAAGCUUUACCAAGACGACAUUUUGGAAUACGAAAUACAGUCUGCCAUCAGGCAAAUUGGGGCUCGCAAUUCUCAUCCAAUUCCCCUGUGAUUCUCUUCCAAAACCAAUGAUCUUUCCACACUCUAUCCAUGAGUUCAAUGGGCUUGUUUUUAGUCUCAGGCAACAGGAAAUACACAAAUGCAGUCAUCACUGCAACCCAUCCACCAAAAAAGAAGAAAAUACCAGACUUGAAGUGGCAGAGCAUAGCCAGAAAGGUCUGAGCAAUAAUGAAAGUGAAAAGGAAGUUCACUGCCACCACUAUACUUUGCCCUGCGGAUCGAAUCUCCAAAGGGAAAAUCUCGCUAGGAACUAACCAUCCCAAUGGACCCCAUGACCAUGCAAACCCAGCCACAUAUAUGCAUAUCAUAGUCAAAACCAAAUAAGCAUACCCUUUGCCUAUGCUGCCAUGAUCACCUAGCUCAGAUGCCAUAACGCAUCCAAUCACAGUUUGCGACAGCAACAUUUGUACACCCCCAAAUAUG